rnacentral:rRNA from 1 species
AUUGAACGCUGGCGGCAGGCCUAACACAUGCAAGUCGAGCGGGGUUUUCGAACCUAGCGGCGGACGGGUGAGUAAUGCGUAGGAAGCUACCCGAUAGAGGGGGAUACCAGUUGGAAACGACUGUUAAUACCGCAUAAUGUCUACGGACCAAAGUGUGGGACCUUCGGGCCACAUGCUAUCGGAUGCGCCUACGUGGGAUUAGCUAGUUGGUGAGGUAAUGGCUCACCAAGGCGACGAUCCCUAGCUGGUUUGAGAGGAUGAUCAGCCACACUGGAACUGAGACACGGUCCAGACUCCUACGGGAGGCAGCAGUGGGGAAUAUUGGACAAUGGGCGCAAGCCCGAUCCAGCCAUGCCGCGUGUGUGAAGAAGGCCUUCGGGUUGUAAAGCACUUUCAGUAGGGAGGAAGCGUUGUGUGUUAAUAGUACACAGCGUUGACGUUACCUACAGAAGAAGCACCGGCUAACUCUGUGCCAGCCGCCGCAGUAAAAC